CGCCAUAGCUCAGUUGGUAGUAGCGCAUGACUGUUAAUCAUGAUGUCGUAGGUUCGAGUCCUACUGGCGGAG
rnacentral:tRNA from 1 species